rnacentral:rRNA from 1 species
ACUAGUAAUCGCAGAUCAGAAUGCUGCGGUGAAUGCGUUCCCGGGUCUUGUACACACCGCCCGUCACACCACGGAAGUUGGGGGCGCCCGAAGCCACUUAGCUAACCCUUUUGGGGAAGCGAGUGUCGAAGGUGAAAUCAAUAAACUGGGGGUGAAGUCGUAACAAGGUAAC